CAUAUAAAUUUCAUUUUCCAAUGGUUAACGAUAUAAAGAAAUCUUUUAACUAAUGUCUCCUUCAUAGAGAUCGUAUGCUAAUUAUUAUGCAAAUAAAAUCCAACCACAGUUUCAAGGAAUAAGCAAGACAUGAAUCUGUUAAAAGAUAAUCAACCAUUUUACUGGAAGGGAGAACGCAUUAUUUUCAACAAUGAUAAGAAGAAGCCGACGAUACAAAAA
rnacentral:lncRNA from 1 species